rnacentral:rRNA from 1 species
CUUAUGCCGGCGACCGGCGGACGGGUGCGUAACGCGUAUGUAACCUACCUUUGACAGGGGGAUAACAUCGAGAAAUUGGUACUAAUACCCCAUAACAUCACCGGAGGCAUCUUCGGUGGUUGAAAACUCAGGUGGUCAGAGAUGGACAUGCGUUGUAUUAGCUAGUUGGUGAGGUAACGGCUCACCAAGGCGACGAUACAUAGGGGGACUGAGAGGUCAACCCCCCACAUUGGUACUGGGACACGGACCAAACUCCUACGGAAGGCAGCAG